CUACAGGCUUAACACAUGCAAGUCGAGGGGCAUUUAUGGUCUUAGCUUGCUAAGGCCGAUGGCGACCGGCGCACGGGUGAGUAACACGUAUCCAACCUGCCGUCUACUCUUGGACAGCCUUCUGAAAGGAAGAUUAAUACAAGAUGGCAUCAUGAGUCCGCAUGUUCACAUGAUUAAAGGUAUUCCGGUAGACGAUGGGGAUGCGUUCCAUUAGAUAGUAGGCGGGGUAACGGCCCACCUAGUCUUCGAUGGAUAGGGGUUCUGAGAGGAAGGUCCCCCACAUUGGAACUGAGACACGGUCCAAACUCCUACGGGAGGCAGCAGUGAGGAAUAUUGGUCAAUGGGCGAGAGCCUGAACCAGCCAAGUAGCGUGAAGGAUGACUGCCCUAUGGGUUGUAAACUUCUUUUAUAAAGGAAUAAAGUCGGGUAUGGAUACCCGUUUGCAUGUACUUUAUGAAUAAGGAUCGGCUAACUCCGUGCCAGCAGCCGCGGUAAUACGGAGGAUCCGAGCGUUAUCCGGAUUUAUUGGGUUUAAAGGGAGCGUAGAUGGAUGUUUAAGUCAGUUGUGAAAGUUUGCGGCUCAACCGUAAAAAUUGCAGUUGAUACUGGAUAUCUUGAGUGCAGUUGGAGGCAGGCGGAAUUUCGUGGUGUAGCGGUGAAAUGCUUAAAUAUCACGAAGAACUCCGAUUGCGAAGGCAGCCUGAUAAGCUGCAACUGACAUUGAGGCUCGAAAGUGUGGGUAUCAAACAGGAUUAGAUACCCUGGUUAGUCCACACGGUAAACGAUGAAUACUCGCUGUUUGCGAUAUACAGCAAGCGGCCAAGCGAAAGCGUUAAGUAUUCCACCUGGGGAGUACGCCGGCAACGGUGAAACUCAAAGGAAUUGACGGGGGCCCGCACAAGCGGAGGAACAUGUGGUUUAAUUCGAUGAUACGCGAGGAACCUUACCCGGGCUUAAAUUGCAGAUGAAUUACGGUGAAAGCCGUAAGCCGCAAGGCAUCUGUGAAGGUGCUGCAUGGUUGUCGUCAGCUCGUGCCGUGAGGUGUCGGCUUAAGUGCCAUAACGAGCGCAACCCUUGUUGUCAGUUACUAACAGGUUCCGCUGAGGACUCUGACAAGACUGCCAUCGUAAGAUGUGAGGAAGGUGGGGAUGACGUCAAAUCAUCAUGCCCCUUAUGUGUAGGGCUACACACGUGCUACAAUGGCUGGUACAGAGAGAUGCAGUACCGCGAGGUGGAGCCAAACUUAAAAACCAGUCUCAGUUCGGAUUGUAGGCUGAAACUCGCCUACAUGAAGCUGGAGUUACUAGUAAUCGAAGAUCAGAAUGUCGCGGUGAAUACGUUCCCGG
rnacentral:rRNA from 1 species